AGUGAACGCUGGCGGUAGGCCUAACACAUGCAAGUCGAACGGCAGCACAGUAAGAGCUUGCUCUUACGGGUGGCGAGUGGCGGACGGGUGAGGAAUACAUCGGAAUCUACUUUUUCGUGGGGGAUAACGUAGGGAAACUUACGCUAAUACCGCAUACGACCUACGGGUGAAAGCAGGGGAUCUUCGGACCUUGCGCGAUUGAAUGAGCCGAUGUCGGAUUAGCUAGUUGGCGGGGUAAAGGCCCACCAAGGCGACGAUCCGUAGCUGGUCUGAGAGGAUGAUCAGCCACACUGGAACUGAGACACGGUCCAGACUCCUACGGGAGGCAGCAGUGGGGAACAUUGGACAAUGGGCGCAAGCCCGAUCCAGCCAUACCGCGUGGGUGAAGAAGGCCUUCGGGUUGUAAAGCCCUUUUGUUGGGAAAGAAAAGCAGCAGGUUAAUACCCCGCUGUUCUGACGGUACCCAAAGAAUAAGCACCGGCUAACUUCGUG
rnacentral:rRNA from 1 species